rnacentral:rRNA from 1 species
UACGUAGGGUGCAAGCGUUGUCCGGAAUUAUUGGGCGUAAAGAGCUCGUAGGCGGUCUGUCGCGUCUGCUGUGAAACUCAGGGCUUAACCCUGAGCUUGCAGUGGGUACGGGCAGACUAGAGUGGCGGUAGGGGAGACUGGAAUUCCUGGUGUAGCGGUGAAAUGCGCAGAUAUCAGGAGGAACACCGAGUGGCGAAGGCAGGUCUCUGGGCAUUAACUGAC